CAUGUUCAGAAUUCUACAGUGACAGUAAAGGAUCUGAUAACUCCCUGGCACAGUGGGGGUUUUCCUGGAAUCACACACAGAAAUGUGUCAGGGCUCUGAGAGGUGUCCACCCCUGAGCUGGACUGAUGCACUGCUCACACACACUGGGGUGUUCCGAGACACGAGUCCUUCCCUUGCACACACACAGGCAGUUCAUUGCAGCAGGGGCAGGGUCU